AAGAUUUGGCAUGGGUCCCCAGAUCCUCAAAAAUGUCAACAGCUGCACCAUCGAGAGCAUCCUGACCGGUUGCAUCAGACUGUAAGACACUACAGAGGGUAGUGCGUACGUACGGCCCAGUACAUCACUGGGGCCAAGCUUCCUGACAUCCAGGACCUCUAUACUAGAGGAGAGAAGACGAGAGGAGAGAAGAGGAGGGGAGAGAAGAGGAGAGGAGAGAAGAGGAGGGGAGAGAAGAGGAGGGGGAGAAGAGGAGGGGAGAGAAGAGGAGAGGAGAGAAGAGGAGUGGAGAGAAGAGGAGAGGAGAGAAGAGGAGGGGAGAGAAGAGGAGGGGAGAGAAGAGGAGAGGAGGGAAGAGGAGAGAAGAGGAGGGGAGAGAAGAGGAGGGGGAGAAAAGGAGGGGAGAGAAGAGGAGAGGAGAGAAGAGGAGGGGAGAGAAGAGGAGAGGAGGGAAGGGGAGAGAAGAGGAGGGGAGAGAAGAGGAGAGAAGAGGAGGGGAGAGAAGAGGAGGGGGAGAAGAGGAGGGGGAGAAGAGGAGUGGAGAGAAGAGGGGGAGAGAAGAGGAGAGGAGGGAAGAGGAGAGGAGAGAAGAGGAGAGAGAGGAGAGGAGAGAAGAGGAGGGGGAGAAGAGGAGGGGAGAGAAGAGGAGAUGAGAGAAGAGGAGGGGGAGAAGAGGAGGGGAGAGAAGAGGAGGGGGAGAAGAGGAGUGGAGAGAAGAGGAGGGGAGAGAAGAGGAGAGGAAAGAGGAGAGGAGAGAAGAGGAGGGGGAGAAGAGGAGGGGAGAGAAGAGGAGUGGAGAGAAGAGGAGAGGAGAGAAGAGGAGGGGAGAGAAGAGGAGAGGAGAGAAGAGGAGUGGAGAGAAGAGGAGAGGAAAGAGGAGAUGAGAAAAGAGGAGUGGAGAGAAGAGGAGAGGAGAGAGGAGGAGGGGAGAGAAGAGGAGGGGGAGAAGAGGAGGGGAGAGAAGAGGAGAGGAGAGAAGAGGAGGGGGAGAAGGAGGGAGAGAAGAGGAGAGAAGAGGAGAGGAGAGAAGAGGAGGGGAGAGAAGAGGAGGGGGAGAAGAGGAGGGGAGAGAAGAGGAGAGGAAAGAGGAGGGGAGAGAAGAGGAGGGGAGAGAAGAGGAGGGGAGAGAAGAGGAGAGGAGGGAAGUGGAGAGGAGAGGAGAGGAGUGGAGAGAAGAGGAGUGGAGAGAAGAGAGGAGAGAAGAGGAGGGCAGAGAAGAGGAGAGGAGAGAAGAUGAGGGGAGAGAAGAAGAGAGGCAAGAGGAGAGGAGAGAAGAGGAGUGGGGAGAAGAGGAGAGAAGAGGAGGGGAGAGAAGAGGGUAGGAGAGAAGAGGAGAGGAGAGAAGAGGAGGGGAGAGAAGAGGAGAGGAGAGAAGAGGAGGG
ensembl:lncRNA